CCUACGGGAGGCAGCAGUGAGGAAUAUUGGUCAAUGGGCGCGAGCCUGAACCAGCCAAGUAGCGUGAAGGAUGACUGCCCUACGGGUUGUAAACUUCUUUUAUAAAGGAAUAAAGUGAGGUACGUGUACCUUUUUGCAUGUACUUUAUGAAUAAGGAUCGGCUAAUUCCGUGCCAGCAGCCGCGGUAAUACGGAGGAUCCGAGCGUUAUCCGGAUUUAUUGGGUUUAAAGGGAGCGUAGAGGGGUUGUUAAGUCAGUUGUGAAAGGUUGCGGCGCAACCGUAAAAUUGCAAUGGAUACUGGCAGGCUUGAGUACAGUUGAGGUAGGCGGAAUUCGUGGUGUAGCGGUGAAAUGCUUAGAUAUCACGAAGAACUCCGAUUGCGAAGGCAGCUUGCUAAACCGGCACUGACAUUGAUGCUCGAAAGUGUGGGUAUCAAACAGGAUUAGAUACCCCUGUAGUC
rnacentral:rRNA from 1 species